rnacentral:rRNA from 1 species
UUUCCUCCUCCUCGCCGCGCUCCUCCUGCUGAUCGGCGGCGCCUCCUCAGCGGGCGACGUCGUCGCGGCGGGAAACGGGAAGGUGCGCAUGGAGCUCUACUACGAGUCUCUGUGCUCCGACUCAUUUCAGUUCAUGGUGGACAGCCUCGCCAGAGUCUUCAAGGACGGGCUCCUCGACGCCGCGGACCUCACCCUGGUUCCCUACGGCAACGCCAAGGUCGACGCGCACGGCGCCAUCACAUGUCAGCAUGGCCCCGAUGAAUGCCUUCUCAACACCGUGGAGGCUUGCGCCAUCGACGCCUGGCCGGAUGUGAAAGUGCAUUUCGGUUUCAUCAACUGCGUGGAGGAGCUGGCGAUGGAGUACAAGCACCAGGAGUGGCAGUCGUGCUUCCAGAAGCAAGGGCUUAACCCCAAGCCUGUCAUGGAGUGCUACAAGAGUGAGCAUGGCCACAAGCUUUCGCUCAAGUACGGGAGACAGACAGACGCGCUCCUGCCUCGGCACACGUCCGUUCCGUGGGUGGUGGUUGAUAGCAAGCCGCUGUACGACAACUUCGGGGACUUCGUAGCCUACAUCUGCAAGGCGUACAAGGGACGUCCUCCAAAGAUUUGCCAACACAAACAGCCGGGCCGUGGCUAUCCAACCGCACGACAGGCGGCGGAGGCAGGCAACCGUGUCGGCUACAACUCCGGCGAUUUCGUGCUCAAUGAUGGCGUCGACGACAGGACUAAGAGGGCGCGGGCUAAUGACAAUUGA